CUUCUUAUUUGGGCUCUCAGGACAAAGAACCAAAGUUUCAGCAGGACGAUGGCCAUGGAAGUCAGAAUCCGCUAAGCAGUGUAUAACAACUCACCUACCAAAUCUUAAAAAGGAAAAAAAAAAAGAGAAAAAG
rnacentral:ncRNA from 1 species